UACGUAGGGUGCGAGCGUUGUCCGGAAUUAUUGGGCGUAAAGAGCUUGUAGGCGGUUUGUCGCGUCUGCUGUGAAAAUCUGCAGCUUGACUGUGGGCGUGCGGUCGAUACGGGCAUCACUGGAGUUCGGCAGGGGAGACUGGAAUUCCUGGUGUAGCGGUGAAAUGCGCAGAUAUCAGGAGGAACACCGGUGGCGAAGGCGGGUCUCUGGGCCGAUACUGACGCUGAGGAGCGAAAGCGUGGGGAGCAAACAGG
rnacentral:rRNA from 1 species